GCAAGUCGAGGGGUAACGAUGUAGCUUGCUACAGGCGACGACCGGCGCACGGGUGAGUAACGCGUAUGCAACCUACCUUCAACUGGGGGAUAGCCCAGGGAAACUUGGAUUAAUACCCCAUAAUAUGUAUCAUUCGCAUGUUUGAUAUAUUAAAGUUCCGGCGGUUGAAGAUGGGCAUGCGUGUCAUUAGAUAGUUGGUGAGGUAACGGCUCACCAAGUCCACGAUGUCUAGGGGUUCUGAGAGGAAGGUC
rnacentral:rRNA from 1 species